rnacentral:lncRNA from 1 species
CAUUGCGUAAGAGAGGUUCCUGCUUUUUAUUUUGUUUUGUUUUGCAGGCUUGAGGAUCUUGGCUUAAAGCAGUUUACUGUGGCUGAACUAUUCACUCGCAUAUUCAUCCCAACCUCCUUUCUGCUGGUGUGCAUUUUACACCUGCACUACUUCCAUGACCGGUUCCUUGAACUCACAGACCUCAAGUCCAUUCCCAGCAAAGAAGACAACACCAUCUACAGGUGAGCCACUGGAAGAAACACAGACCUCUUAUUAGCAGGAAGGCAGCUCUUCAACCCUACCUUAGGUUGGCCACCUUGCGAGAAGCCAGUAAUCUAAAAGUUUCAGCCUUGAAUUUUCCAUGAGUAUCAGCUUGUGAGAAAAAGAGGAAAACAUGUGGAAGAUUCUGUGACACGUUCUGAAACAAUGGGUAGUGACUUAUGACUGGUUAAUGUAAAGUGAUCUUGAUCGUCUUGUGAGAUAUUCAGAGUAGCUGUGGAGACUUAAAUAUUUUAGAGUUGAUAUGUGUAUUUGUGUCUAGGCUGGUUAUAUGUUUUUAGAACAUUUAGGGAAUCUGGCUAAUUCAGAGGAUUUUUCCAUUAUGCCAACCACAAGUACAGAAGUCUUGUGAGAGCAUAGCAAAAGAUGAUGGGCAGUUUUCCCUUCCACUUUGGAAAUAAAGAACUUUGGCUGAAAAAACAGAAUCUGCAAUUGACUAGUAACUACAAUCAUAUUUAAGAGGACAACAUGAUGACAAUAUCUUCUUUUAGCAGCUUACGGCUGUUUUAUCCUCAUCAAUAAAUAUACAUUGUUUGCAAAUAACAGAUGGGAUAUUACUUUUCCUGCCCGUAUUUAUUCAAACCACAAUGGGUUAUCACAAAUCCUUCACUGUGUUCCAUCACGGGGAGAUCACAAGCAUUCUUUUAGUGAACGCUGACAAUGGUUUUCCUUUCUGC